UACGGAGGGUGCAAACGUUGCUCGGAAUCAUUGGGCGUAAAGCGCACGUAGGCGGUCGGCUAUGUCGGAUGUGAAAGCCUCGGGCUUAACCCGAGAAGGGCAUCCGAAACUGGCCGGCUUGAGUACGGAAGAGGGUCUCGGAAUUCCCGGUGUAGAGGUGAAAUUCGUAGAUAUCGGGAGGAACACCAGUGGCGAAGGCGGAGACCUGGGCCGAUACUGACGCUGAGGUGCGACAGCGUGGGGAGCAAACAGG
rnacentral:rRNA from 1 species